GGGGCAGCUCAAAAGUGAAAUUUUGAAGGCACAAAAGGAAACAAAUCAGCUGAGAAAAACUGGAUCUUUUUGAAGAGUGAUGUAGAUGCGCAAGGAACUCACCAACCAACUUCAAAUUCUGAACAGAAGAUUGAAGGCAACAGAGGUUAACUAAAAACACAGCAGGAUUCUGAAAGAAGAGUGUCAUGAGUCAGGAUUGAUUGAGGUUGGCAAGAAACACCAAAAGUAGAUUUGUGUUUUCUUCUUCAUCUAAAGCUCAAUGAAGGGAAAGAGAAGAAUCACAGAAAGGAUAGACACACUGCCACAAGUGGAGAACGUGUUGAUAACUGAAUUCUUAUUUUGCUUCUGUUUUCUCUGCCAAAAAAUAACCUUUGGAUGGGAAAGAAUAGAGUGAAAAUGACUAAGAGGGAGCUGAUGCCCAGGAUUUGUAAGGGAACAGUUAAUGAGCACUUAGCUACCAUUUUGAUGAAUUGAGUACUUGGGUAAUGAAAUAAUUAGCAGAUGUGAUCGAUGAACACCUGUUAUUAAUAUUUAACAGAUCACAUAAAAGAGAGAUAAGUCAUGUGCAAAAAUUAACUAUAAAAAGCAUUUAACCCUCAAGGUACACUGCUAGCCACUUACCUGAGCCUGCCCAACAUGAAGAGUCAAGAGCUGGGGAGUUCCAUGCUCAUCCUGCCAAUUAUGUGCUCCAUCUCAAUAAACAGAAAUGCAGAGAAAAUGUGAAGUUCUCUAGGAUUCUCAGGGAGUAGAUAACCUUCUCUUCUCUAGAUUUGAUACUUGCUGAUUGGCUGUGACAUCUCAUCAAUAGUACAGUUGCUCCUAGAUGUUGAGGGAAAAAGCAGAAGAGACUGAUUACUUUUCCAGCUUCUGAAGUUAUCCCCACAAGCCCCGAACACUGAUUCUUAUAAAACUUGUAUCAAGAAGGCUGAAAACCAGAAGGCACUGAGGCAAACCAUGAGUGCUAAAGGUGGAGAAUUCAGAUCUCUUGGAACACCAUUUCUGCCGUUGGUAAAUUCAGCUGGUUAUUUGG